AGCGAACGCUGGCGGCAGGCUUUACACAUGCAAGUCGAACGACACCUUCGGGGCUAGUGGCGGACGGGUGAGCAAACCGUGGGAUAGUGCCUCUAGGCUCGGACUAACUCAGGGAAACACGUGCUAAUACCGACUGUGAUACUCGGGGGGAAGAGUUAGCGCCAUUAGAGCGGCCUGCGUCGGAUUAGCAAGUUGGUUGCGGGAAUGGCUUACCAUGGCUACGAUCAGUAGCUGGUCAGAGAGAAUGAGCAGGUACAUUGUGACUGAGACACGGCCGGAAAUCCUGCGGAAGGCAGCAGAGGGGAAUCUUGCGCAAUGGGGGAAAGCCUGACGCAGCCAGGCCGCGUGAAUGAUGAAGUACGGAGGAAAAAGGAAUUCUUUCACCGGGGACGAUAAUGACGGUACCCGGAGAAGAAGCCCCGGCUAACUUCGUG
rnacentral:rRNA from 1 species